AGACCAGACUCCUACGGGAGGCAGCAGUGGGGGAUAUUGCACAAUGGGGGGAACCCUGAUGCAGCGACGCCGCGUGGGUGAAGGAGCGUUUCGGCGCGUAAAGCCCUAUCGGCAGGGAAGAAGAUGACGGUACCUGACCAAGAAGCCCCGGCUAACUACGUGCCAGCAGCCGCGGUAAUACGUAGGGAGCAAGCGUUAUCCGGAUUUAUUGGGUUUAAAGGGUGCGUAGGCGGUCCGUUAAGUCAGCGGUAAAAUGGCGGGGCCCACCCCCGGCGAGCCGUUGAAACUGGCAGACUUGAGUUGGCGAGAAGUACGCGGAAUGCGCGGUGUAGCGGUGAAAUGCAUAGAUAUCGCGCAGAACUCCGAUUGCGAAGGCAGCGUACCGGCGCCAGACUGACGCUGAGGCACGAAAGCGUGGGGAUCGAACAGGAUUAGAUACCCCAGUA
rnacentral:rRNA from 1 species